AGUCGACGCCCCGCAGGGGAGUGGCAGACGGGUGAGUAACGCGUGGGAAUCUACCCCAUUCUUCGGAACAACUGAGGGAAACUUCAGCUAAUACCGGAUGUGCCCUUCGGGGGAAAGAUUUAUCGGAAUUGGAUGAGCCCGCGUUGGAUUAGCUAGUUGGUGGGGUAAAGGCCUACCAAGGCGACGAUCCAUAGCUGGUCUGAGAGGAUGAUCAGCCACACUGGGACUGAGACACGGCCCAGACUCCUACGGGAGGCAGCAGUGGGGAAUAUUGGACAAUGGGCGCAAGCCUGAUCCAGCCAUGCCGCGUGAGUGAUGAAGGUCUUAGGAUUGUAAAGCUCUUUCACCGGUGAAGAUAAUGACGGUAACCGGAGAAGAAGCCCCGGCUAACUUCGUGCCAGCAGCCGCGGUAAUACGAAGGGGGCUAGCGUUGUUCGGAUUUACUGGGCGUAAAGCGCACGUAGGCGGACUAUUAAGUCAGGGGUGAAAUCCCGGGGCUC
rnacentral:rRNA from 1 species